GAGUUUGAUCCUGGCUCAGGACGAACGCUGGCGGCGCGCCUAACACAUGCAAGUCGAACGAGCAAAGAGGAGCUUGCUUCUCUGAGCGAGUGGCGAACGGGUGAGUAACGCGUGAGGAACCUGCCUCAAAGAGGGGGACAACAGUUGGAAACGACUGCUAAUACCGCAUAAGCCCACGGGUCGGCAUCGACCAGAGGGAAAAGGAGCAAUCCGCUUUGAGAUGGCCUCGCGUCCGAUUAGCUAGUUGGUGAGGUAACGGCCCACCAAGGCGACGAUCGGUAGCCGGACUGAGAGGUUGAACGGCCACAUUGGGACUGAGACACGGCCCAGACUCCUACGGGAGGCAGCAGUGGGGAAUAUUGCACAAUGGGGAAAACCCUGAUGCAGCGACGCCGCGUGGAGGAAGAAGGUCUUCGGAUUGUAAACUCCUGUUGUUGAGGAAGAUAAUGACGGUACUCAACAAGGAAGUGACGGCUAACUACGUGCCAGCAGCCGCGGUAAAACGUAGGUCACAAGCGUUGUCCGGAAUUACUGGGUGUAAAGGGAGCGCAGGCGGGAAGACAAGUUGGAAGUGAAAUCCAUGGGCUCAACCCAUGAACUGCUUUCAAAACUGUUUUUCUUGAGUAGUGCAGAGGUAGGCGGAAUUCCCGGUGUAGCGGUGGAAUGCGUAGAUAUCGGGAGGAACACCAGUGGCGAAGGCGGCCUACUGGGCACCAACUGACGCUGAGGCUCGAAAGUGUGGGUAGCAAACAGGAUUAGAUACCCUGGUAGUCCACACCGUAAACGAUGAUUACUAGGUGUUGGAGGAUUGACCCCUUCAGUGCCGCAGUUAACACAAUAAGUAAUCCACCUGGGGAGUACGACCGCAAGGUUGAAACUCAAAGGAAUUGACGGGGGCCCGCACAAGCAGUGGAGUAUGUGGUUUAAUUCGACGCAACGCGAAGAACCUUACCAAGUCUUGACAUCCUGCGACGGACAUAGAAAUAUGUCUUUCCUUCGGGACGCAGAGACAGGUGGUGCAUGGUUGUCGUCAGCUCGUGUCGUGAGAUGUUGGGUUAAGUCCCGCAACGAGCGCAACCCUUAUGGUCAGUUACUACGCAAGAGGACUCUGGCCAGACUGCCGUUGACAAAACGGAGGAAGGUGGGGAUGACGUCAAAUCAUCAUGCCCUUUAUGACUUGGGCUACACACGUACUACAAUGGCGUUAAACAAAGAGAAGCAAGACCGCGAGGUGGAGCAAAACUCAGAAACAACGUCCCAGUUCGGACUGCAGGCUGCAACUCGCCUGCACGAAGUCGGAAUUGCUAGUAAUCGUGGAUCAGCAUGCCACGGUGAAUACGUUCCCGGGCCUUGUACACACCGCCCGUC
rnacentral:rRNA from 1 species